UUCUCAACUUAUGAGAUACGGAAACAACAGCACUACUGCUUAACUCUUCUAGCGCUUGAGUGGUUUGCAUAUUAAUUGUGUUUUCUCUCCACUGAUGCUACCAUAUCUAUUCUGGUACUGGUAUGGCAUCAUUCAUCACCUAGAUGGACUGCUGCACCAACAUAAGCAUCCUCCAGGAAGCAGGUGUCCUGAGCAUAGCGGUGAUCACUCUCGCAUGGCAAAUGCACUGGGCAGGCCAUUGCAUCAGAAAGCCGAACACCCGCCUUCCGAAGAGCACUCCAUACUUGCAACUGGUCAAAGCUCACAGGGCGGCCAGCGGCGAUGUUUCAAAGAUACCCCGAAAGCUUACUUGAAGAAGAUUGGCUUUGACCUCAACAGAUGGGAAGAGUAUGCACUGGACCGCCCAUGAUGGAAAGCCUUGCUUCACCAAGGUGUAGCUGGCUUUGAAGCAAAGCAGAUGGCAAAGGUCAAAGACAGAAGAGCAAGAAGGAAAGUUCAAGAAACUGCGCAACCCCUCCUUGACCACCGACUGACCAACUGACUGACAUGACUGACUGCUGAUGUGGAAUGUGAAUUUUAAGAUUUAUUCUCCUGUUAAUGCUGUUUCUCCCUUUUUAAUCUUCCCUUUCUUACCUCUUACAUUGCACUGACUUCACCCCAACUCUUAAAAUCUCUCUCUGUCCCUUUAUUUUUCUUUCUCUCUCUCUCUCUAUCUACCUUAGGUCUCAGUAGCAAGCAGCUUCCUCACUUUGAGGGACUGCCUUGAUGAUGAUGAUGAUGAUGGCAUUUCAUAUUCUGACUAUCUUUUGCAUUAACACAAUUGCCCUAACCUAUCCAUUUAUUCUCUUGGGGUGAUCAUAUAUCUGCAAUAUAGGGUUAGAAUGUUGAAGUUAUGCAUAGGGCAGUCAUCAAGUGACCUAACCAGUCCUUAAAAUUGCCAUAAAGUCUGCUCAAAGGAAUAGGCCAAAGACUCUUCUCAUUUUUAUCCCUGUGAUCUCACAAAAAAACUUUGGCCUGAAGCACCCUUUGGUGCUUGCAGCUCACUAGCAGCAUUAAGAUGAGGCCAAAACUUAAAAUGAUUUGGGCCUCCUGAUGCUUUGAGCAGAUAACACGGCUGGCCUGGCAAAUGCACACUUGUUUCAGCUGUAAAGUAAAGAUCAGACACUCUUGUAUUCUCUGGCAUGGGAGAUAUAAGAGUUUUAUAUCAUUUUUAGCUAUCUGAGAAUUAGAAAACAGCUUUAGUAAGUGGCAACAAUUCAAAAAUACACCAAGUACAUUUAAGUAGAUAUCUCCAAAUGUAACACUGCAACCAUAAAAAUUAGCAUCCUUUACACUCAUAAUAAUUAAACUAUUGUUUAAUUAAA